rnacentral:rRNA from 1 species
ACGGAAGGCAGCAGUGGGGAAUAUUGGGCAAUGGACGAAAGUCUGACCCAGCGACGCCGCGUGAGGGAAGAAGGUCUUCGGAUUGUAAACCUUAAUCAACAGGGAAGAAGAAAGUGACGGUACCUGUGGAGGAAGCCACGGCUAACUACGUGCCAGCAGCCGCGGUAAUACGUAGGUGGCGAGCGUUAUCCGGAAUUACUGGGUGUAAAGGGCGCGUAGGCGGGGAUGCAAGUCAGAUGUGAAAUCCAUGGGCUUAACCCAUGAACUGCAUUUGAAACUGUAUCUCUUGAGUGUCGGAGAGGUAGAUGGAAUUCCUAGUGUAGCGGUGAAAUGCGUAGAUAUUAGGAGGAACACCAGUGGCGAAGGCGAUCUACUGGACGAUAACUGACGCUGAGGCGCGAAAGCGUGGGGAGCAAACAGGAUUAGAUACCCUGGUA